rnacentral:lncRNA from 1 species
CGAUGUUCAUGUGCCUAUUUACAAUUCGGUGAUUAGUCGGUAGCAUUACAUUUUACAUUCUACUAUUUAAGUUGACAAAAUAAUAAGAUUGUUUACAAUAACAAGAAUAUUGAGACCCUUUUGAGUUAUACUUAAUUUUAUUUUAACAAAACAGACAAAAAAAAAUAGCAUGUAAGUAAGCCUUAAGCGCGUUACACACUACCUGAUUUGGUCGGGCCGACAGGAUAAUUUGGUCAGAUCAGACGUCAUAUCAGGUCGUGUGUAGACGUGUCGUCUGACUUUAAUCCUGUCGGGUCUUGUCAGGUGGCCAUACUAUCUGAUCGCCCGACCGACCGACCAAAUCAUAAAGUAUGUAGCACUGUCGGGCGGAUUUUAGUUGGUUUAUUGAGGUUAACGUGAUAACACGUGUGUGUACCUAGUACCUACUUCCAGUUUAAUAACGGUGUUAAGACUGACUAAAUCGUGUGGUGGUCGUACUGUGUGUACGCAACAUCUGAUUUGGUCAGGUAUCCUAUCGGCCCGAAUAAAUCAGGUAGUGUGUAACGCGCUUAAAAAUUUAGUGAUUUGUUACUGAUUUUUAGUAUGGUAGCAGAAGGUAUGAAUUGUGUUCUAUUGGGUCCUAAUCCAUUCUUCAUAUAUCAGGUAAAUUUUACUUUUGAACCUUUUUCCAAGAAGCUAACAAUUAAUAAUUAUACAGAUAAAAAUUCUCCACAACCAAUACUGUUACCGAGAAUUGUUGUUUUGCACAAAUGUUUAGUAUCUUUUGAUUAUUAUCUCCUGUAUACAAUAUCCAUAUUUGUUAACCAAAAAUAGAUAGGUCAAUAGCCUGUAGAAUACAUAGACCUUAUACUCAUAGACGGAACAAGCUAGUAGUUCCCGCGGAAAACGGUGGCUGCGCUGUACAUCUUGGGCUUGGGUCAGUUCUCCUCAUUGAUAAGAGAUAAAAAUGAUAAGAAAACAUUUUAUCAUGAAACACCAACUGUUCGGAAUCAAAAUUUUUACUGCCAGGAAUUUAACGUCAAAAAAUUAGGCUAUACUGUGUUUAUGUAUUUUAUGUAUUUAACGGUUUACUGAUUAAAUUUUAAAAUUAUAAAUCAUUAUCAUAUUGGUUAUUGUUUAAGACUAUCACCUGCGAUUAUUUCAUGAAAAAACUUUCAGCGAUUAUAUUUAAUAAUAAUCUAAUAAUAAUAAUUACUUAGUUUUGACUUAUAUGUACCAUUCUUGAAGGAUGUAAUCAGUGAAAGAGGUCUUGAUCAUACAAUUACAAAAUCGUCAGUUCUAAGCAUUUAUAACAGUGAAAUAAUUAGACACUAAGAAGCAGCCACAAAGUAUACGUGCAUCCAGUUCUCAGAAAGGUUGAAAAAGAUGAAAAGGUUGUGGAGACUAAAAACACCGCAAACCAUCCACAUUUCAAAUUAUACCCUCAACAUUUUUUCAACAAUAACUAAUUGUAAAUGAUAUUAAUGUAGCAGUUGUUUUUGCCAACAUUGAUGCGAUCUACAGAUAUCGCGAAGAGUUAACUUCAGUAGAGCUGGUUGGAGUAGAUGCCACAUAUAAAACUGUCCCUCAAGUGCCAGAGGACUUACGAUCUUUCCUAACAUUUCAAGUACUCUACAAAGAUGUUGCAUUUCCAAUGGUUUAUGCCCUUUUGAGGAGUGAAACACAAGAAACUUACUCUUCAUUAUUAACAGUAAUACGCUAUAUUUUACCUUUUCGUUAUAAUAGAAUCAGUUUUGUCACUGAUUAUGAACGAGCUAUUAUGAAUGCUAUCAGGGAAUUAUUUCCAAAUAGUCAGUUAGUAUGUUGUUGGUUUCAUUAUACAAAGAAAAGCUGAUUGUUGAUUGUUGUUGAGAAUCACAUCUUUAUAGAAUUUCAACAGUGUUAAGAUGGCUUUAAAGUUAGAAAUUAAAUAAACAAAAAAGAGAGGGAAAUACAUCUAUAAUGAUAAGAGAAUGCGUACAGCAGCUGAAUCAAAACGGUGACUUAUUGAUGUUUUUAAGGAGAACAGGUCACCGUAAUGAUGGUUAUGUUCAACGACAAAUCCGGUCAUAUCCUAAUAUAUUAUAAAAUAUUACAAUCUUAUUGUUAUUAUAUAUUGUAAACUAAUUUUAUUAUUGUUUUUUUUACCUUGUAAUAUGUACAAAUAGUUAUUGUCAAAUCAAGUUGACUAUUAUACACAUGUUUUUUUUUAAU